rnacentral:rRNA from 1 species
UUAACACAUGCAAGUCGAGGGGCAGCAUGGUCUUAGCUUGCUAAGGCCGAUGGCGACCGGCGCACGGGUGAGUAACACGUAUCCAACCUGCCGUCUACUCUUGGACAGCCUUCUGAAAGGAAGAUUAAUACAAGAUGGCAUCAUGAGUCCGCAUGUUCACAUGAUUAAAGGUAUUCCGGUAGACGAUGGGGAUGCGUUCCAUUAGAUAGUAGGCGGGGUAACGGCCCACCUAGUCUUCGAUGGAUAGGGGUUCUGAGAGGAAGGUCCCCCACAUUGGAACUGAGACACGGUCCAAACUCCUACGGGAGGCAGCAGUGAGGAAUAUUGGUCAAUGGGCGAGAGCCUGAACCAGCCAAGUAGCGUGAAGGAUGACUGCCCUAUGGGUUGUAAACUUCUUUUAUAAAGGAAUAAAGUCGGGUAUGGAUACCCGUUUGCAUGUACUUUAUGAAUAAGGAUCGGCUAACUCCGUGCCAGCAGCCGCGGUAAUACGGAGGAUCCGAGCGUUAUCCGGAUUUAUUGGGUUUAAAGGGAGCGUAGAUGGAUGUUUAAGUCAGUUGUGAAAGUUUGCGGCUCAACCGUAAAAUUGCAGUUGAUACUGGAUAUCUUGAGUGCAGUUGAGGCAGGCGGAAUUCGUGGUGUAGCGGUGAAAUGCUUAGAUAUCACGAAGAACUCCGAUUGCGAAGGCAGCCUGCUAAGCUGCAACUGACAUUGAGGCUCGAAAGUGUGGGUAUCAAACAGGAUUAGAUACCCUGGUAGUCCACACGGUAAACGAUGAAUACUCGCUGUUUGCGAUAUACUGCAAGCGGCCAAGCGAAAGCGUUAAGUAUUCCACCUGGGGAGUACGCCGGCAACGGUGAAACUCAAAGGAAUUGACGGGGGCCCGCACAAGCGGAGGAACAUGUGGUUUAAUUCGAUGAUACGCGAGGAACCCUACCCGGGCUUAAAUUGCAGAUGAAUUACGGUGAAAGCCGUAAGCCGCAAGGCAUCUGUGAAGGUGCUGCAUGGUUGUCGUCAGCUCGUGCCGUGAGGUGUCGGCUUAAGUGCCAUAACGAGCGCAACCCUUGUUGUCAGUUACUAACAGGUUCCGCUGAGGACUCUGACAAGACUGCCAUCGUAAGAUGUGAGGAAGGUGGGGAUGACGUCAAAUCAGCACGGCCCUUACGUCCGGGGCUACACACGUGUUACAAUGGGGGGUACAGAGGGCCGCUACCACGCGAGUGGAUGCCAAUCCCCAAAACCUCUCUCAGUUCGGACUGGAGUCUGCAACCCGACUCCACGAAGCUGGAUUCGCUAGUAAUCGCGCAUCAGCCACGGCGCGGUGAAUACGUUCCCGGGCCUUGUACACACCGCCCGUCAAGCCAUGGGAGCCGGGGGUACCUGAAGUGCGUAACCGCGAGGAGCGCCCUAGGGUAAAACUGGUGACUGGGGCUAA